rnacentral:rRNA from 1 species
AACGCUGGCGGCGUGCCUAAUACAUGCAAGUCGAGCGAACGGACGAGAAGCUUGCUUCUCUGAUGUUAGCGGCGGACGGGUGAGUAACACGUGGAUAACCUACCUAUAAGACUGGGAUAACUUCGGGAAACCGGAGCUAAUACCGGAUGAUAUUUUGAACCGCAUGGUUCAAAAGUGAAAGGCGGUCUUGCUGUCACUUAUAGAUGGAUCCGCGCUGCAUUAGCUAGUUGGUAAGGUAACGGCUUACCAAGGCAACGAUGCAUAGCCGACCUGAGAGGGUGAUCGGCCACACUGGAACUGAGACACGGUCCAGACUCCUACGGGAGGCAGCAGUAGGGAAUCUUCCGCAAUGGGCGAAAGCCUGACGGAGCAACGCCGCGUGAGUGAUGAAGGUCUUCGGAUCGUAAAACUCUGUUAUUAGGGAAGAACAUAUGUGUAAGUAACUGUGCACAUCUUGACGGUACCUAAUCAGAAAGCCACGGCUAACUACGUG